CCUACGGGUGGCAGCAGUGAGGAAUAUUGGUCAAUGGACGAGAGUCUGAACCAGCCAAGUAGCGUGAAGGAUGACUGCCCUAUGGGUUGUAAACUUCUUUUAUAUGGGAAUAAAACAUGGUAUGCAUACCCUCUUGUAUUUACCAUAUGUAUAAGGAUCGGCUAACUUAGUGCCAGCAGCCGCGGUAAUACGGAGGGUCCGAGCGUUACACGGAUUUAUAUGGUUUAAAGGGAGCGUAGGUGGAGUGUUAAGUGAGUUGUGAAAGUUUGGGGCUCAACCGUAGAAUUGCAGUUGAAACUGGCAGUCUAGAGUACAGUAGAGAUGGGCAGAAUUCGUGGUGUAGCGGUGAAAUGCGUAGAUAUCACGAAGAACUCCGAUGGCGAAGGCAGCUCACUGGAAAGCAACUGACGCUGAUGCGCGAAAGCGUGGGUAUCAAACAGGAUUAGAUACCCUAGUAGUC
rnacentral:rRNA from 1 species